rnacentral:misc_RNA from 1 species
GGUCGAAGGCGGUUACCAUGUCGGCGGAGGAUUUGGAGAACGGAGAGUUUUACUUGAGAUAUUAUGUGGGGCACAAAGGGAAAUUUGGACAUGAAUUCUUGGAGUUCGAAUUCCGACCCGAUGGCAAGCUUCGCUAUGCUAACAACUCCAACUACAAGAACGACACCAUGAUUCGAAAGGAAGUCUACCUCACCCCUGCUGUCCUUCGGGAAUGCCGUCGAAUCAUCUCCGAUAGCGAGAUUAUGAAGGAAGACGACAAUAAUUGGC